UAGUAACUGCGAGUGAAGCGGGAAAAGCUCAAAUUUGAAAUCUGACGGUUCUUGACUGUCCGAGUUGUAAUCUAGAGAAGUGUUACCUGUGCUGGACCGUGUAAAAGUCUCCUGGAAUGGAGCAUCAUAGAGGGUGAGAAUCCCGUCUUUGACACGGACUACCUGUACAUUAUGGUGUGCUCUCAAAGAGUCGAGUUGUUUGGGAAUGCAGCUCAAAAUGGGUGGUAAAUGCCAUCUAAAGCUAAAUAUUGGCGAGAGACCGAUAGCGAACAAGUACCGUGAGGGAAAGAUGAAAAGAACUUUGGAAAGAGAGUUAAACAGUAUGUGAAAUUGCUGAAAGGGAAACGCUUGAAGUCAGUCGCGUUGGCUAGAAAUCAGCCUUGCUUUUGCUUGUUGUACUUUCUUGUUGACGGGUCAGCAUCAAUUUUGACCAUUGGAUAAAGUCUUUGGGAAUGUGGCAUCCUUGGAUGUGUUAUAGCCCAUUGUCGCAUACAGUGGUUGGGAUUGAGGAACUCAGCACGCUCGAAAGGGCAGGGUCGUUUCGACCACAUUCGUGCUUAGGAUGCUGGCAUAAUGGCUUUAAUCGACCCGUCUUGAAACACGGACCAAGGAGUCUAACAUGCCUGCGAGUGUUUGGGUGGAAAACCCAUGCGCGUAAUGAAAGUGAAAGUUGAGAUCCCCCCUUCAAGGAGGAGCAUUGACGCCCGGACCAGACCUUUUGUGACGGAUCCGCGGUAGAGCAUGUAUGUUGGGACCCGAAAGAUGGUGAACUAUGCCUGAAUAGGG
rnacentral:rRNA from 1 species